GGGUUGUGAGGUUAAGCGACUAAGCGUACACGGUGGAUGCCCUGGCAGUCAGAGGCGAUGAAGGACGUGCUAAUCUGCGAAAAGCGCCGGCGAGGUGAUAUGAACCUUUGACCCGGCGAUGUCCGAAUGGGGAAACCCAGUGUGAUUCGUCACACUAUCGUUAACUGAAUACAUAGGUUAACGAGGCGAACCGGGGGAACUGAAACAUCUAAGUACCCCGAGGAAAAGAAAUCAACCGAGAUUCCCCCAGUAGCGGCGAGCGAACGGGGAGCAGCCCAGAGUCUGAAUCAGCUUGUGUGUUAGUGGAAGCGUCUGGAAAGUCGCACGGUACAGGGUGACAGUCCCGUACACGAAAGCACACAGGCUGUGAACUCGAAGAGUAGGGCGGGACACGUGGUAUCCUGUCUGAAUAUGGGGGGACCAUCCUCCAAGGCUAAAUACUCCUGACUGACCGAUAGUGAACCAGUACCGUGAGGGAAAGGCGAAAAGAACCCCGGCGAGGGGAGUGAAAAAGAACCUGAAACCGUGUACGUACAAGCAGUGGGAGCCUCUUUUAUGGGGUGACUGCGUACCUUUUGUAUAAUGGGUCAGCGACUUAUAUUCUGUAGCAAGGUUAACCGUAUAGGGGAGCCGAAGGGAAACCGAGUCUUAACUGGGCGUUAAGUUGCAGGGUAUAGACCCGAAACCCGGUGAUCUAGCCAUGGGCAGGUUGAAGGUUGGGUAACACUAACUGGAGGACCGAACCGACUAAUGUUGAAAAAUUAGCGGAUGACUUGUGGCUGGGGGUGAAAGGCCAAUCAAACCGGGAGAUAGCUGGUUCUCCCCGAAAGCUAUUUAGGUAGCGCCUCGUGAACUCAUCUUCGGGGGUAGAGCACUGUUUCGGCUAGGGGGCCAUCCCGGCUUACCAACCCGAUGCAAACUACGAAUACCGAAGAAUGUUAUCACGGGAGACACACGGCGGGUGCUAACGUCCGUCGUGAAGAGGGAAACAACCCAGACCGCCAGCUAAGGUCCCAAAGUCAUGGUUAAGUGGGAAACGAUGUGGGAAGGCACAGACAGCCAGGAUGUUGGCUUAGAAGCAGCCAUCAUUUAAAGAAAGCGUAAUAGCUCACUGGUCGAGUCGGCCUGCGCGGAAGAUGUAACGGGGCUAAACCAUGCACCGAAGCUGCGGCAGCGACGCUUAUGCGUUGUUGGGUAGGGGAGCGUUCUGUAAGCCGUUGAAGGUGUCCUGUGAGGGGUGCUGGAGGUAUCAGAAGUGCGAAUGCUGACAUAAGUAACGAUAAAGCGGGUGAAAAGCCCGCUCGCCGGAAGACCAAGGGUUCCUGUCCAACGUUAAUCGGGGCAGGGUGAGUCGACCCCUAAGGCGAGGCCGAAAGGCGUAGUCGAUGGGAAACAGGUUAAUAUUCCUGUACUUGGUGUUACUGCGAAGGGGGGACGGAGAAGGCUAUGUUAGCCGGGCGACGGUUGUCCCGGUUUAAGCAUGUAGGCGGAGGUUCCAGGUAAAUCCGGUUCCUUGUUAACGCUGAGGUGUGAUGACGAGGCACUACGGUGCUGAAGUAACAAAUGCCCUGCUUCCAGGAAAAGCCUCUAAGCAUCAGGUAACAUCAAAUCGUACCCCAAACCGACACAGGUGGUCAGGUAGAGAAUACCAAGGCGCUUGAGAGAACUCGGGUGAAGGAACUAGGCAAAAUGGUGCCGUAACUUCGGGAGAAGGCACGCUGAUAUGUAGGUGAAGCCCCUGCGGGUGGAGCUGAAAUCAGUCGAAGAUACCAGCUGGCUGCAACUGUUUAUUAAAAACACAGCACUGUGCAAACACGAAAGUGGACGUAUACGGUGUGACGCCUGCCCGGUGCCGGAAGGUUAAUUGAUGGGGUUAGCGGCAACGCGAAGCUCUUGAUCGAAGCCCCGGUAAACGGCGGCCGUAACUAUAACGGUCCUAAGGUAGCGAAAUUCCUUGUCGGGUAAGUUCCGACCUGCACGAAUGGCGUAAUGAUGGCCAGGCUGUCUCCACCCGAGACUCAGUGAAAUUGAACUCGCUGUGAAGAUGCAGUGUACCCGCGGCAAGACGGAAAGACCCCGUGAACCUUUACUAUAGCUUGACACUGAACACUGGUCCUUGAUGUGUAGGAUAGGUGGGAGGCUUUGAAGCGUGGACGCCAGUCUGCGUGGAGCCAACCUUGAAAUACCACCCUUUAAUGGCUGGUGUUCUAACGUAGACCCGUAAUCCGGGUUGCGGACAGUGUCUGGUGGGUAGUUUGACUGGGGCGGUCUCCUCCCAAAGAGUAACGGAGGAGCACGAAGGUUAGCUAAUCCUGGUCGGACAUCAGGAGGUUAGUGCAAUGGCAUAAGCUAGCUUGACUGCGAGAGUGACGGCUCGAGCAGGUGCGAAAGCAGGUCAUAGUGAUCCGGUGGUUCUGAAUGGAAGGGCCAUCGCUCAACGGAUAAAAGGUACUCCGGGGAUAACAGGCUGAUACCGCCCAAGAGUUCAUAUCGACGGCGGUGUUUGGCACCUCGAUGUCGGCUCAUCACAUCCUGGGGCUGAAGUAGGUCCCAAGGGUAUGGCUGUUCGCCAUUUAAAGUGGUACGCGAGCUGGGUUUAGAACGUCGUGAGACAGUUCGGUCCCUAUCUGCCGUGGGCGCUGGAGAAUUGAGGGGGGCUGCUCCUAGUACGAGAGGACCGGAGUGGACGCAUCACUGGUGUUCGGGUUGUCAUGCCAAUGGCACUGCCCGGUAGCUAAAUGCGGAAGAGAUAAGUGCUGAAAGCAUCUAAGCACGAAACUUGCCCCGAGAUGAGUUCUCCCUGAGACUUUAAGUCUCCUGAAGGAACGUUGAAGACUACGACGUUGAUAGGUCGGGUGUGUAAGCGCAGCGAUGCGUUGAGCUAACCGAUACUAAUGAACCGUGAGGCUUAACCUUACAACGCCGAAG
rnacentral:rRNA from 1 species